AACCGAGUUCCAUAUACAUACACUGAAUCCCAGAGUACAAAGCUACUCGCACUGGCGAGUUAAAAGUCUGUAUGUACAUGAACCCAAACUAAAACAUCUACCUGCAGUAGGGGUGCCUCUAGCUCUGCUCCUCGGGUAGGGCUCUAACUCGUGACGCCCUUGCCUAGCUCCUGACGAGCAACAGCAGCAGCCGAAGACGAAGGCUCUGCAAAAACGGGGUAACAACUGGGCGUGAGAACUACUAUAGAAACAAGUAGUCCUCAGUGGGUGCCGCCCUCAACAAUCAUCGGUCCACCCAUUAAGUCUACAGAAGGUAACAAGGCUAGCAGAAAAAGCUGGAAAGAAAUCUACAGCUACAUAUCGCUACACUAGCAUGAUCUACACUAACCAACUAUAGUAAAAGUCACAACUAACUCAAUCUCAUUAGGGACUGUGAACACACCCGUCCCGCCUGUCGGAUCGAACCCGUAUCCUACUCCAGGAAUAGCUGGUGGAGAAAACUCUUUAGGGACUAUGAAUACACCCGUCCCGCCUAAUUAGGUGACACCGUAGCUCAAGAGUAACCGGCGGAGAAAACUCUCUGGAGACUGUGAAUACACCCGUCUCGUCUACUAGAAUACGCCGUAUCUCAAGAGUAAUCGGCGGAGAAAACUCUCUAAAGACUGUGAAUACAUCCGUCUCACCUAAUUAGACUACACCGUACCUCGAGAGUAGUCGGUCCCAGAAAAGGGUCCAACAGGAUGGUUAAGACUCCACUCACGUCACAACCUCACUAAAGGUAGGGAAAAACAUCACUCACUCUCUCACCCGGGCUGCCCAAAACGGACCCACUCUGCCUGUAUCUAGCUGCGCCGUACACCACCCCGAGGGUAGCCGGCUCAAGAACUGUCCAACAGAAACUGCGACACUCAUCGCACUGAAACCUCAUUCCGGAAUGGCAUUCGCGGGCGCGACCCAACGAGUUUACAAGUAUCUCUGUCAAGUUCAUACCGCUCUCACAGGCUAAGUCAAGUAACCGACUCUAACUGGUCUAACAACCAACAGGUAAUGUGCCAUCGGCACAAUCUAACGCCGAAAAGGCGAUACGAGUCCACCGUCCACUCCGACGGCACCGAACAGUCCGGAACAACCUGAACGCUACUGUAAAAAUACACUCGGCAUCCCAGCAUGAGUGUAACUGAAAAUUAAACUACCUGGAAUACUCACUAUGAGGAUACUGCAACAGUAUAAAAUAAUACAACGACCCCUAGGCUAAAUCAGGUAGUUUCAUAUAUGUCAGGUCCCGAACGCGGGUUUUCUCCUAUGUCAAAUUCAGGUCCAACAUGUAUAAUUUAUUUAUUAAAAAUAGGCUCCAAUUUCAGUUUAGAUGAAAACAACAUUUACAAAUAUGAAACUGAGCUAAAACAAUAGUAAUGUGUAAUACUAACUAUACAUGUCGACCAACAAGACUAUACGAGUAGGAAUCCGAUGAUAAACCCACCUCAAAAGCUAAUUCAGAAUAGCGAGAAGUCGAUAGGAGAAGAAAUCUCCGUGCUCGCUCGGCCUCCAACGACACUACCACGACAUACGCACGCUCCAACGGCUCGCCGGCGCGAAGUUGACGUCGCUCCAAGCUCAAUGUGGCCUCCACGAGCUCUCCACUUCAAUCUAGAGAGAGAGAGAGGAAAUUGCAAAUCAUAAUUAUCCCUUUCUGCCUCUCAAAGCUAUAUAGGCCACAAGAUAAGAAUGCAUGGGGGUGCACGUGGCAUCCAAAGCCACCCCCAUGCAUCACCAACCGACUA
rnacentral:lncRNA from 1 species